CAGACUCAGCAGUGAAGGAGUGGACCUGUUGUCAAAGUUCCUGCAGUUUGAAGGGAAGAAGAGGAUCUCAGCAGCCGAGUCGAUGAAUCAUCGUUACUUCAGUAACCUUGGCAACAAAGUGACCGCCCUACCUGACACCACGUCCAUCUUCAGUCUGCCGGAGAUUCAACUGGAAAAAGAAACAAUCAGACCAGCUGUCACACUUGACCCAGGUAACGCACACAUACACAUACACACACACA